CCUACGGGAGACAGCAGUGAGGAAUAUUGGUCAAUGGACGCGAGCCUGAACCAGCCAAGUCGCGUGCAGGAUGACGGCUCUAUGGGUUGUAAACUGCUUUUAUACGGGAAUAAACUGCGGUACGUGUGCUGCUUUGUAUGUACCUUAUGAAUAAGGAUCGGCUAACUCCGUGCCAGCAGCCGCGGUAAUACGGAGGAUCCGAGCGUUAUCCGGAUUUAUUGGGUUUAAAGGGUGCGUAGGCGGCCUUGUAAGUGAGCUGUGAAAGGCCGUGGCUCAACCCUGGAACUGCCGCUGAAACUGGGGGGCUGGAGUGUGGGGGAGGUAGGCGGAAUGCGUGGUGUAGCGGUGAAAUGCGUAGAUAUCACGAAGAACUCCGAUUGCGAAGGCAGCUUACCAAGCCAUGACUGACGCUGAGGCACGAAAGCGUGGGGAUCGAACAGGAUUAGAUACCCGGGUAGUC
rnacentral:rRNA from 1 species